GUGUCACACAGUAUGCGCGCCUUUCCUGCAGCUGAUGGACGCCAUCUUGAUGCCGUAAGAGAUUGAAAUUCAUCCCAAGGCAAAGGCAUGGGCGCCCUGGUGAAGAAGUAAACAUCUCCAUGCUUAACAAGGCCAAGCACUCACAAACACCUGGGAUCGCCAAGGCCCCACAGACUCCCCAAGAGUGGGAAGACAGGUUUUAUCCUGUCAUUGAGUUACUUUGCACUGAAGGUCUGAGUUACUUUUGAAAAACAGAAUAAAACCAAUUAAAAUUUGAUUAAAUCU
rnacentral:lncRNA from 1 species